AGUGAACGCUGGCGGUAGGCCUAACACAUGCAAGUCGAACGGCAGCACAGUAAGAGCUUGCUCUUACGGGUGGCGAGUGGCGGACGGGUGAGGAAUACAUCGGAAUCUACUUUUUCGUGGGGGAUAACGUAGGGAAACUUACGCUAAUACCGCAUACGACCUACGGGUGAAAGCAGGGGAUCUUCGGACCUUGCGCGAUUGAAUGAGCCGAUGUCGGAUUAGCUAGUUGGCGGGGUAAAGGCCCACCAAGGCGACGAUCCGUAGCUGGUCUGAGAGGAUGAUCAGCCACACUGGAACUGAGACACGGUCCAGACUCCUACGGGAGGCAGCAGUGGGGAAUGUUGGACAAUGGGCGCAAGCCUGAUCCAGCCAUACCGAGUGGGUGAAGAAGGCCUUCGGGUUGUAAAGCCCUUUUGUUGGAAAAGAAAAGCAGCAGGUUAAUACCCCGCUGUUCUGACGGUACCCAAAGAAUAAGCACCGGCUAACUUCGUG
rnacentral:rRNA from 1 species